rnacentral:rRNA from 1 species
UUCGGUCGGGAACUCAAAGGAGACUGCCAGUGAUAAACUGGAGGAAGGUGGGGAUGACGUCAAGUCAUCAUGGCCCUUACGACCAGGGCUACACACGUGCUACAAUGGCGCAUACAAAGAGAAGCGAUCUCGCGAGAGCAAGCGGACCUCAUAAAGUGCGUCGUAGUCCGGAUUGGAGUCUGCAACUCGACUCCAUGAAGUCGGAAUCGCUAGUAAUCGUGGAUCAGAAUGCCACGGUGAAUACGUUCCCGGGCCUUGUACACACCGCCCGUCACACCAUGGGAGUGGGUUGCAAAAGAAGUAGGUAGCUUAACCUUCGGGGGGGCGCUUACCACUUUGUGAUUCAUGACUGGGGUGAAGUCGUAACAAGGUAACCGUAGGGGAACCUGCGGUUGGAUCACCUCCUUACCUUAAAGAAGC